CUCUAUUGUCUCUUUCUGCAUCAUUAUUGGCAGUAUGUUUUGAGGAAGAAUAAAUUCUUUCAAACAAUUGUGUGAACCUUUCACUUUGAGAGAGAUAAAAUACAAUAGAAAAGUGACAUAUAUUUUUGAAAUGCUUGUGCAAAGGCACUGGUCAGGUCUUAAUAAUAUUUGAAUCUCAUUUAAAAGUGACAUAUAUUUUUGUAAAUUAGAUUUUUCGUUCCUUUCUUUAUUUUGUUUCCCCCUGGUAUAUUUUUUUUCAGGCAUUCAGGAGUUUAAUAAAAUAUUUGUAAUGUCAAUUUUGAAUGGAAAGGCUGGUAUCAGCCUAUCACUUCCAUUGCCCCUAAGUUUUUUAUGAACAAUAGCUUGGAUAACAGGCGGCAAACUCUGAAUCUUGUACUCUUUUCUUAAUGUGCUGCUUUGGUUUCAUUGUGCGAAAAAAGAAUGGCAAGACAAAGCUUUUUGUUGGUGUUUUAAACAGAAGUAGAAAUCAUGUGCUGGAAAGCAAGUAAACAUCGACACUGGAAGCUCUCACUGCCAAAGGAUUGUUCAGUUUUAUUAUAUCGGUUUACUGAUAAGCUGAUAUGGCCUCAUACAACUCCUAAACAUGGUAUGCACAAGCCUAUCAUGCACAUUUGGAUCAGAGUAACUGUAGGAGAGUACCGAGGCAAGUGUGUCCAGUUGUGGAGGGAUAGCUGGUGUUGCUGACAGUUAAGCAACACUGGCAAAGACGGUGCAGAUGGAGUGGUUUUGCCUAAAUCAUGUUCUGGCAGGAAGAUUUUGAAGGUGUUGCAGUUCUGCCAUAUGCAGCUGAGUAGCUGCUAGAAGCCUAGCUGUUUGUUUGCAUCAUUCAUCUCUUAUAACAUUAAAGAAAUUUUCACUUGAUUGUUCCUUUGCAACUUAUAUGAUGUGAUCCAUUUCACAGUUGAUUUCAAUGCUUAAUUGUUGAUAACGUGGCAAC